UACGUAGAGGGCAAGCGUUGUCCGGAUUUACUGGGCGUAAAGCGCGCGUAGGCGGAUCGUUAAGUCCGAUCUGAAAGCCCCCAACUCAACCGAGGAGGGUGGUUGGAAACUGGCGGUCUUGAGGGCGAUAGAGGAUAGUGGAAUUCCCAGUGUAGUGGUGAAAUACGUAGAGAUUGGGAAGAACACCAGUGGCGAAGGCGGCUAUCUGGACGGUUUCUGACACUAAGACACGAAAGCGUGGGGAGCAAACAGG
rnacentral:rRNA from 1 species